AAAAGGAAAGCUUUUGCUCUUCAGGUUUUUAAAAUAAAAGCUGCAGGAUAUAUUUUUGUAAGCAGUUUUCCUCAUGGGAAGUCACAUGUCCACACAAGGUCAAUACAGUCAGAUAUUCCUAUCUUAUUCCUAUCCAAGACAUAAAAAUGUGUCCACUCAGAUCAAAAUGAAUACUACAUAUGUGGUCUUCUACCCCAGACUAGGUGGCAGAAAUUGCCUCCGCAGCACUCUUCUCAUUUUAUUACCACACGACUGAGCGGAGAGUAAAUAUUUAAAAAAGAGGGCUGGGGGCAGUGCUGGUGGCAUCCCAUAAGACCCCCAAUCCACCCAUGUCUCGCUAGUGUCCCUACCAUCCUGGGGCAAUGUGGGGGAAAGUCCCGAUUUUGGCACACGAAUGUGUGUGUAGGGGGUUCUUUGGCACUUCAAAGUGGUUGUAACAGCAUUGGAUUUCAAAACAUCCUUUUUACUACCUCUUCACGGGGGGCUGGCAUUACCAAUGAGGUUAGCUCUGCGCUUCGAGAUAUGAGGCUUGAUACCCGCGUUCUAUACACACGCUUCAGAGCAACAUAAUGCACAUCCCCCAAAGCCUACAGCCUUUCUCACAUAACACUGAUAUUACACCCCAGCCCCCUUCCACUAGAGAUAUUAUUAAUAAUGGAGGCGAAGCAAUAUAUCCUCCUGCUAUGGGAGGUAUAUGAGGUUAAGGAUAUUCUCCCACUAAUUGUGCGUACAGAUUUUAAUAUAAGGUAAGCACACAAGCCCGAAGUAACACUAUCAUAUAAACAGCAACACGCACAUCCCCUUUGGCUGUAGAGUAAUAAUAACAGCAGUUAAUGCUGAUAUUUACAUAGAAUUAAAAUGGAUGGCUAGUGGCCCAGGAAGCAGUGAGCAUUAAUUUGUCAUUAAUUAAUCUUGCAUUGUUUCUCCUUCAGUCCUGGUGUGAAUCUUAAACCUCGGCAGUAGGCUUGUGAAAACACUUGGACGUUCAUUGGAUGACUCAGAUGCUUGUCUUUUUGUGUGCUUGUGUUAUAGUGGGAUAUAUGAAUUUCAUACAUAUAUGCAUACAGUAUACACAAUAUGUUGUAUGUAGUUAUGUGUAUAGAAAAAAUAUAUAGUCACCAGCCACUUUAAUAGGAACACUUGUACACCUGCCCAUUCAUGCAAUUAUCCAAUCAGCCAAUCACAUGGAACCAUCACAGUUCAUAAAAAUGAUACAGAUACAGAUUCAAAAGCUUCAGUUAAUGUUUACAUCAAACAGACUUGAUCAAGUAGACUUGAUCUCUCGUGACACCUAAAUUUUUCCAAUGCUUUCGACCAUCUAGAAAAGCCAUCUUUUACAAACGCCUUAUAAGAUUCUUGCUCAUGUGUGGUAGUUGGGAGCAGAGUGCGUAUGUCUUUUGCUUUUGAGCAGAGUUCACAAAAUACCUUGCUUUUGGUAGCAUCGUAUGCUAUUCAGGGGAAAGUUUUUUCCAUUUAUCUUGAUAUGUUCGAGAAUUCAUUUGCCUCCUGGCUUCACUGCUGCUGUUGUUGUUGAAUUAUGAUGUCGACGACUGGUCAUUUGAAGUAGCAGCAGCACUACUACUAAUUGAAGAGGGGCUAGUGUCAAUCAAAUUUUACGUUUUAGUUACAAACCUGUCCGUUUGUAAGCGAAAUGCAAAGACGAGUCGACCUUAUGACAACGGUUUGAUAACCAUGCCCACCAACACUUUGAAAAGACGGGCAUUCUAUCUAUGCCCUUAGAAAGCAUGGUAGAUAUUUUGACCCGCGAGAUCCACAAUCAGAGAGGUUCCCGAAUUUCAAUAGAUUUUUUGAUUGGUUAAAAUGAAUGGAGAAUAUCUCGUGUUUUUCCGUGGGUGCUCGACCAUUUCCGUGUGUACUCGACGCCUAUGGGUGGAUGGGCUAUUACAAUGCUUUCAGGUUGAAAUCCUGUCAGCCAAGAACAGGAACCUGAGGCUACAGUGAACACAGGCUCACUGAAAUGAGAAGAAAUGGCAGAAGACUGGAAAAAGUCCUGACAAUGAUUUACCAAAAACAUGUAUAAAUGCAUUAAAAUAUAUGUAUCAUGCACUUGCUUGUUUCAUAAACGUGUUUACAAAUUAAUAAUGAAAUAUUACAUGUCAAAUGAUAUUCUAAGAAGCCCCACUAGGAUUUUGCGCUAGCAGAAAUUAAUGCGAAAUCAAGGAAACGCUGCAAUAUUCAUGGGAGCUUUCCAUUUUCACGAUUUUUUUCACGCUUUUUUCUAAAUCUGCAGAUUUUCCACAAAUUUGGGUCAAGACGCAUCAUGUGACGUCAUCACAACUCGCCGUGUGAUGUCAUCACAACGUGUAUAUAGCCAAACCACGUCUUCGAUUCACUUCUCAUUUACCAACAAACAUCACUGUGAAAGAGCAUGCAAUGGAAUUGCAAUUUCACCAAGUGGUUUUCCACAAAAAACACAAAGACUCCGCAAAUUUUUGAAAAAAGCUGAAGCAAAAUCAAGCAUUUUUGGCCGCAGUAAUCACACAAAAAAAACUUCACAAAAUCCUGUAUGAGCUGUCUAAAGUAUAAAAUUUCAAGAUCACAUUCCUCCCACAUUUUUCGCGGACCCAUUACAAUUAUCACAAUUACAAUUAUAUAUUGUAUGUCAGCUGCACACACACACACGACCAACGUUGAAUACUGAAGGUGGCAUGCUGGUUUGAAUCGGGUCCAAAGCAAAGCUGAACUGUCACUUCAGCUUAAAUCUCCCCUGUGAUCAAAGGCUGAAUCCCUCUGAGCCGGCUGCCUCUCUCCUCUGCUAACCUUGACUCCUGACUCCCAGGACACAAGACUGCAACUCCAUCGUGCCUUUUUGGACAUAAAUGCAUAUAUUCCCACACACCAGGCACGCAGCUGAAGAAGAAGAGCGGGGUGGCCAAGAGAUAGCAGGAUGCAAUGGAGAGAGACAGAGCCAGGUCUGAAAGCCCCACCGAGACACAUUCUUUAUGAAGCCAUAAAAAGAAAAGGCUAUGGCCAGACUGUGCAUCCAUUAGAAUGACCUUCCUUUUGAUGAUCAGCCCUUGUCAGCAGGGCUUUUUACUGCCCAGGUCCAGUGACAGAGUCUGUCUGGCUGAUGCCAUACUUGGGAAACCUGGUCCAGCAUCUUGAGAGAAGCAAAGGAAAAGGAGGUGCCACCAGUCAUUGUAAAUACAAUAAAGUGGUUGGUGAGUCCAAAUAAAUUCAAACUAAACUCACAUACAGACACCAAAUUUGACAAAAAAUCUUACUGAUGAUUCAGUUACAAUUCUGUUACUGACAUUUUCACUAAUCUUCUUUUAAAUACCCAACCAGCCACUGCAUGCCUAUUUACACUCAG
ensembl:lncRNA